UACGUAGGGUGCAAGCGUUGUCCGGAAUUAUUGGGCGUAAAGGGCUCGUAGGCGGUCUGUCACGUCGGGAGUGAAAACUCAGGGCUUAACCCUGAGCCUGCUUCCGAAGUACGGGCAGACUAGAGGUAUGCAGGGGAGAACGGAAUUCCUGGUGUAGCGGUGAAAUGCGCAGAUAUCAGGAGGAACGACCGGUGGCGAAGGCGGUUCUCUGGGCAUUACCUGACGCUGAGGAGCGAAAGUGUGGGGAGCGAACAGG
rnacentral:rRNA from 1 species